rnacentral:rRNA from 1 species
UGGGGAAUUUUGGACAAUGGGCGAAAGCCUGAUCCAGCAAUGCCGCGUGAGUGAAGAAGGCCUUCGGGUUGUAAAGCUCUUUUGUCAGGGAAGAAACGGUGAGGGCUAAUAUCCCUUGCUAAUGACGGUACCUGAAGAAUAAGCACCGGCUAACUACGUGCCAGCAGCCGCGGUAAUACGUAGGGUGCAAGCGUUAAUCGGAAUUACUGGGCGUAAAGCGUGCGCAGUCGGUUUUGUAAGUCUGAUGUGAAAUCCCCGGGCUCAACCUGGGAAUUGCAUUGGAGACUGCAAGGCUAGAAUCUGGCAGAGGGGGGUAGAAUUCCACGUGUAGCAGUGAAAUGCGUAGAUAUGUGGAGGAACACCGAUGGCGAAGGCAGCCCCCUGGGUCAAGAUUGACGCUCAUGCACGAAAGCGUGGGGAGCAAACA